UUGGAGAAAAACCAAGGUUUCAGGUUCCAC
rnacentral:piRNA from 1 species